GGAUACUUGAAACUUGUUUAUGAUAUUGUUCGCAAUGCUGGUGGUGUUUGCAUUGCCGAUGAGGUUCAAACUGGCUUUGGUCGAACAGGAAGCCAUUAUUGGGGCUUUGAAACACAGGGCGUAAUUCCCGAUAUAGUAACCAUGGCAAAGGGAAUUGGAAAUGGUUUACCAUUGGGAGCCGUGGUAACAACGCCUGAAAUAGCGAGCACAAUGACUCAAAAAAUUCAGUUCAACACUUUUGGAGGGAACCCAGUUUGUUCUGCUGGGGGACUUGCAGUUCUAAGGGUUAUUGACAA
rnacentral:misc_RNA from 1 species